UACGUAGGGUGCGAGCGUUGUCCGGAAUUAUUGGGCGUAAAGAGCUUGUAGGCGGUCUGUCGCGUCUGCUGUGAAAAUCCGGGGCUCAACCCUGGACCUGCAUUCGAUACGGGCAGACUAGAAUUCGGUAGGGGAGACUGGAAUUCCUGGUGUAGCGGUGAAAUGCGCAGAUAUCAGGAGGAACACCGGUGGCGAAGGCGGGUCUCUGGGCCGAUAUUGACGCUGAGGAGCGAAAGCGUGGGGAGCGAACAGG
rnacentral:rRNA from 1 species